AUGCCACUGACUUCUCCAUCAAGCAAAGCUGCCACGCUCCCAGGCUGCACAGCACCUUGUAGAUUCCCAUCCAGCAAGGGAAGGAACGCAUCCACCCAGAUCCCAGACUGCAGACUGAGAACAGGAAGACCCCACCGUGGAACUUCACCCCCAGAGGUCACACUGACAGUGUCGGGACGAGGACCUCUCACUGUACGACUUCUUAGGAAAAAUGCAAGUCACAGCUGUGCACAUUCCUCUCCGGAACUUCAGUGCAGUAUGGUAAGUGUUUGGAUUAUAGUCAUUCUUUACAAAAACCAGUACCAUCACUCUCAAGUGUUCUGUACUAUAUUAUCAAGCCUGAUGCGUGUAAUGGGAUGUGUUCUUGUCUCUCUUUUGUUAGGUACAUAGUGAAAUCUUCUGUGGUUUCAACCUGUGUUUCCCUAAUGACUAAUGGUGUGGGACACUGUUUCACAUGUUUAUUUGCUAUCUUUUGCUGGCAAAGUGUCUUUUGCACAUUUUUUUAUUUGGUUGGAGCACCUGUUGCUAUUGAGUUACAUUACUAUUUUAGGAGCUUUGUGGGUGUAUUGUUGACAUGCCGUACAUUGACUAUUUAAGAUACACAGUUGAAAAGUUUAGCAUAAGCGUUGUUGCAGUCAAGAUAAUGAGCGUGUGCACUGCCUUACGCGAGUGUCCGUGCACCCUUCCUCUGUUCCUCUUCCUCCGUCACCACGGGUUGGCUGACAGUUUUUGGAUUAUUACGUGGAUGGGAUCAGACAAGAUGUCCUCUUUCUGCCUGGCUUCUCUCAUUCAGCAGGGAGGUCCUGCAGUCAUCCAUGUCAGUGAGUGAUUCAGUAACUCAUUCCUUCCUUAUCACUGAUGGUGUCUCACUGCGUGCAUAUGCCUCAGUUUGUUUACCCAUUCACUUGCCGCGGGACAUUUGGGUUAUUUUCAGUCAUUAAAAAGAAAGCUGUUGUGAGCAUUUGUAUACAAGUCUUUUUAUGCGCAUUUGUUUUUGUUUACUUUGGGUAAAGAUAGUAAAUUCCUAGGAGUGGAGCCAACCGGGUUAUACAGUAGGUCUAUAUUUAACACUUGAAGAAGCUACACAACUGUUUUCA
rnacentral:lncRNA from 1 species